rnacentral:rRNA from 1 species
UACGGAGGGUGCAAGCGUUAAUCGGAAUUACUGGGCGUAAAGCGUGCGCAGGCGGUUUGUUAAGUCUGUUGUGAAAUCCCCGAGCUCAACUUGGGAAUUGCAAUGGAUACUGGCAGGCUGGAGUAUGGUAGAGGAAGGUGGAAUUCCCGGUGUAGCAGUGAAAUGCGUAGAGAUCGGGAGGAACACCAGUGGCGAAGGCGGCCCUCUGGACCAAUACUGACGCUCAUGCACGAAAGCGUGGGGAGCAAACAGG